rnacentral:rRNA from 1 species
UAAAGAAAGCGUAAUAGCUCACUGGUCGAGUCGGCCUGCGCGGAAGAUGUAACGGGGCUAAACCAUGCACCGAAGCUGCGGCAGCGACACUAUGUGUUGUUGGGUAGGGGAGCGUUCUGUAAGCCUGUGAAGGUGUGUCGUGAGGCAUGCUGGAGGUAUCAGAAGUGCGAAUGCUGACAUAAGUAACGAUAAAGCGGGUGAAAAGCCCGCUCGCCGGAAGAC